ensembl:lncRNA
ACCACAGCAGAGAGCAGCCCACAAAUAUGUGAGCUCCUUUCAUACUAGCUCUCACACACUGCUGUGUGUCUCUGGGCAAAUCGCCUCCUUUGUCUCAGGGCAGUGGGUGCUGUGGUUGUGACCUUCAGGACCUUCAUUCUUCCACCUGUUGGCAGUGUUGGCAGAUGAUGACUGUUAGAUGAAUCCCUCUCUGGGACUUGCUCUCAGCCGAAACAGCCAUCUCACUCAAGGUCUCAGUGGCUGCUGUUGUCCUGUCCCUGUCCAGGGCUUUGCAGACUCUCAUGACUGAGUUUGCCUUCCAAAUCUUCAGCCUUUGACUCUGUCCUCAUUUGCAGUCCAGACACAUUCUUCAUCCCAUCUGUCUCCUGCCAAGUCAAGGGUCUCCCCAGCUCAGACCAGUCCUGGCUCUAUUCCAGUAUCACCCCAAGUGGCCAGGUAUCCUGUUGGCCUAUAACCCCAUGACUACAGACAUGCUCAGCAUUACUGGCAAGGGUAGCUGCCGCUCUUAGGGCUGCUUGGGGAC